AUGACAAAUGUGGAUGUGGAAUCUGACUGCCAGGUUCUCAUUAAUGCAAUUUAGGGAAAGGCGUCCGACCGAGCAAUUGAAGGAGCAAUCUUCAGGGACAUCCGGGGGUUUGCCCGUAACUUCACUAGCGUUUCUUUUUCUUUUGCCCCAAGGGCGUGUAAUAAGUUAGCACACUCUAUAGCUGCCUUUGGUGCACGCUGUGAUGCGAGGUGGCAGAUUUGGUCCGAGGACCUGCCUGACGAUGUAAACGUCCAGAUGGCCAGCAGGGUAGCUGAGCCGGUGUGA
rnacentral:rRNA from 1 species